rnacentral:lncRNA from 1 species
CGACUGUAGGAAGACUUCAUCCAGACUCCUACGGGAGCCAGACUCCGAGCUUCUAAUGCAAGUGACCCACUCCGAGUUUUCGCUGCAAAUGAUCUACUUCAAAUUUCUACCACGAGCGGUCCGUGUCGGAUUCCCACCGUAAGCCUUCACCCGAGCUUCCAUUAUGGAUGAAUUCCUUUCGGAUUUAUGUUGCAGACAGGCCUUGGCCGAGACUCCUCGACAAAUGAUCCCCAUCCGGGCUUCUGCGGAG